rnacentral:lncRNA from 10 species
CGAGGCAGGUGGAUCACGAGGUCGGGAGAUCGAGACCAGCCUGGCUAACACGGUGAAACCCCGUCUCUACUAAAAAUACAAAAAAUUAGCCGGGUGUGGUGGCGGACGCCUGUAGUCCCAGCUACUCAGGAGGCUGAGGCAGGAGAAUGGUGUGAACCUGGGAGGCAGAGUUUGCAGUGAGCCGAGAUAGCGCCACUGCACUCCAGCCUGGGUGAUAGAGCGAGACUCUGUCAAAAAAAAAAAGAAAAAAAAAAUACAGGCCGGGCAUGGUGGCUCACACCUGUAAUCCCAGCACUUUGGGAGGCUGAGGUGGGUGGAUCACUUGAGGUCAGGAGUUCGAGACCAGCCUGGCCAACAUGGUGAAACCCCGUCUCUACUAAAAAUGCAAAAUUAGCCGGGCAUUCUGGCAAGCAUCUGUAAUCCCAGCUACUUGGGAGGCUGAGGAAGGAGAAUUGCUUCAACCUGGGAGGCGGAGGUUGCAGUGAGCCGAGAUUGUGCAACUGCACUCAAGCCUAGGCGACAGAGUGAGACUCUUGUCUCAAAAAGAAAAAGAAAAAAAAGAAAAUGGGCGUACACAUUUGUUUUGCUCUACUGACAGUUAAUACCACAACUCAGAGGCAUUUUUUUUUCCUUUCUAUUCUUCUUCUAAAUGUUCAACACUUUUCUGAUUUUGUGAUUUGAGGUUGUUGAUUAGCUUCCUGAGGCUCCAUUGAGACUGUAUAUACGUGACACUUAACAGUCUAGCCUUCCUCGGUGCAUAUAGAUAUAUGAUGGUGGUUUUGCCUGUAGUAAAUUCAUG